AUGUCCACUUUGAUUCUACUCCCUCCGUGUAGUGCCGGCGAAACGCGAGCAGCCACAGCCGCAACAAGCAGUAGUGCUGGCGAAGCGGUGGUCCACGGUGCCAUCAUCGUCGUCCUCGGCAGAAGGUCAAGCCAAGAUGAUUCAACAACGCCACAACGGGAACCGACCAUAAAUCCUGGACCCGAGAUACCAAAAAAGGGGAGAUCUAUUAGGUCAAUGAAGGGAAUACCAAAAACUGCAACGUGCUUACAGGAGAGUAUAGUUCUCGUUUUAAGUUCACAAAUAUUGCGGUCUAUUAAGAAAUUAAGCUGA
rnacentral:rRNA from 1 species